AAACGAUUUGUGCAAGGCGACGGAUGUUGCAAGCCCCGGCAUGUUUCUCACCCGCCCUGGGACGACAACACCCGGUGUAACGACAGCAGCGAGUCUGAAAACGACCACCGAAGC
rnacentral:lncRNA from 1 species